UUAGACAAACACAACAUAAAACAUUUAACAUAUCAUGACAGAAUUAGUAAAUAGCCUUAGAAAUUAUAAACGAGCAGAUCCGCAGUUCUGUCUAUUGUUCUUAUUCUUCAGGUUAAUAGGCGUUAAUGAUAGGUAUUGUAAAAGAGCAGAUCCCUAUCAAUCUUUUCUUCUUCUUCAGCUUAAUCUGCUGUUGCUGCAACUUCAAUAUACAUAUGUCCUGGCUUCCCAUCCAUGGUUUUCCUUAUUACCGCGUUGUGAUCACCCGCCCAUUCUGAAGAUUCACCAUUAUACUUGUAACUUACG
rnacentral:lncRNA from 1 species